CUCCCUGCUCCCCCGCAGUCCCCACAUGCAGCAACAGACGAGUGGGUAGAACUGCAGGGGUAUGGAGACAUCCUGAACCUCAGCAACAGCAGUCCCAGCGCCCCGCCCCCAACCCCAGGCAUGAAGAGCAGGGUGUGUGGACACUGUGGACACACGUCCCUUGAAGUCUGGCCUCCACCAGUACAUUGCCUGGGUUAAAUUCCACACAUGUCUGGCCCUGAAGGCAGUAUUGUGAGCUUUCUUCAGCUAAAGCAACCCCCCCCCAAUCUCUUCUGUAGCUUCCUAGGUACUGGGCUCAUCGAGCAAUUGAAAUCUUUCAAAACGAUCGAUCAGGGCUGAGCCACUCGAGAUUUUACUUGUGGUUGAUGUUAUUUUUCAAGUCAACGACCAAUUACAGUAAUAGCAAUGAUUAAACACCGUCUCUCUGACCUGCACUGAAAUGCCAUCUUUCCUGUGCUUUACCUCGGAAUGGACCAGGCUUGGUUGCACACGGCUUUGAGCCCAGCACGCUGAAGACAGAAACAGGUGGAACUCUGUGAGUCUAAGGCCAGCCUAGUCUACAAAGAGAGUUCCAGAACAGCCAGGACUACAUAAUGAAACCCUGUGUCAAAACACAACCAACAAACAGCACGGGUCUUGAAUGGCUUUUAUACUUCUUGGCCUCCUAAUCUACAAACUUGCUGUGUCAAUCCCAUGUAGCCUUUCACGUUAUUCUAUCAGCUUGGUCCAGAGUUUUAGCAUCUGGCGCAACUGUUCUACAUCAGUGUUUUACAGAGAUAAAAUGCUGCUCGUGAAAUGGAAAUAUUUAGAAUUGCUUCUACAUAAAUGUUAAAUGCUUUUAUAGGACCCAAGGAAAACCCUGUUGACGUUCUGAUUAAAAUUAAGGUUCUCAUCCCUUUG
rnacentral:lncRNA from 1 species